ensembl:lncRNA
CAUGACACCCCUCCCCCCUACUCUGGAAGUGAGUGCUAUCUUUCUGACAUUCUCCCACUUUUUAUGUAUGUUAUUUUAAUAGUCUUAUCACAUAUUUACUCUUGUAUCAUAAUUAUUUAUGUGCAUGUUUUGUCCCCCCUGCUAGCAUGCAAGUUCCUUUAGCCCAGAGACCAUGAUUAAUUUCUCUUUGUGUUCAUCUGUCUUGCUAGAUAGAAACGGACACAUAACCAGAGCUGAGAGGUAUUUUGGCAGCAACAUGACUGAACUUUUUGGUAGUUGAAUGGGUCUUCUGGAGCAAAGAAACAUCAUUUAUGAAGUAACAGCCAAGUUUUCACAAGUAUAGAAUAUGGAAAGGAUGGCUAAUCACCAUUGAUCUAUGUUACCCUGCUCAUGAAUUCAACCAUUAGCCUCAAUAAUUAUGGAAUUUAGAACAUAGUAUAAUAAAACACCACAUUACUUUAUAUUUAUGAUUGUUUUAAUUUUGCUUGUGAUACGGGAUAAAGUCACUAAAGUCCUUCCUUUAUUUGGCAUUGGCAAUUGCUUCUAAUUCUGUUUCUUAAGUGGAUUUCUCUUCAUUUGUUUAUUACAGCUUUUUCUGUGUUUUUCUCUAUUGGAAAAGUUUUCCAGCUGCUAGACCUACAGGAACUCUGGAAAAUAACCAAAAGUUUACAACAAUCCAAGGAACAUCAAAUUGAGAAAAACAGCUGAAUCUCAGUAAGAGCAUUGAGUCUGGUGGCAUUGUAACCUGCUCUCUACCCUUCUGCAUAGCUCCAAAGUAGC